CCAGCAGCUGCGGUAAUUCCAGCUCCAAUAGCGUAUAUUAAAGUUGUUGCAGUUAAAAAGCUCGUAGUUGAACCUUGGGCUUGGUUGGCCGGUCCGCUUUAUGGCGAGUACUGGACCCAACCGAGCCUUUCCUUCUGGCUAACCAUUCGCCCUUGUGGUGUUUGGCGAACCAGGACUUUUACUUUGAAAAAAUUAGAGUGUUCAAAGCAGGCCUUUGCUCGAAUAUAUUAGCAUGGAAUAAUAGAAUAGGACGUUAUGGUUCUAUUUUGUUGGUUUCUAGGACCAUCGUAAUGAUUAAUAGGGACGGUCGGGGGCAUCAGUAUUCAGUUGUCAGAGGUGAAAUUCUUGGAUUUACUGAAGACUAACUACUGCGAAAGCAUUUGCCAAGGACGUUUUCAUU
rnacentral:rRNA from 1 species